GACGAACGCUGGCGGCGUGCUUAACACAUGCAAGUCGAACGAAGCUUGAUUACGGAUUCUUCGGAUGAAGUAUGAUAUGACUGAGUGGCGGACGGGUGAGUAACGCGUGAGUAACCUGCCCUUCAGAGGGGGAUAGCGUUUGGAAACGAACGGUAAUACCGCAUAAUGUAUUUUGACCGCAUGAUCGAAAUACCAAAGAUUUAUCGCUGAAGGAUGGACUCGCGUCUGAUUAGGUAGUUGGUGGGGUAACGGCCUACCAAGCCGACGAUCAGUAGCCGGACUGAGAGGUUGAUCGGCCACAUUGGGACUGAGACACGGCCCAGACUCCUACGGGAGGCAGCAGUGGGGAAUAUUGCACAAUGGGCGCAAGCCGGAUGCAGCAACGCCGCGUGAAGGAAGACGGUUUUCGGAGUGUAAACUUCUGUUCUUAGUGAAGAAUAAUGACGGUAGCUAAGGAGCAAGCCACGGCUAACUACGUG
rnacentral:rRNA from 1 species